UAUUAGUAUAAAAAUAUAUUUGAAUAUAUUCGAAAGAGGAGAGGCCGAUCGUGUAACAUCAAAUCGCAUAGGGGUUGAGAGAGUCAUGUCGCAGGAGAGAUGGCACGCGUGCAACGCAGUAUUGUCGACUCGGAUAUAUAUGCCGGGGGUCGGUGGUGACAGAGCCAUGGUGCGCGCCAUCCUCCGGUGACCCGAUUCCCUUGCAAACCUCGAUGUCCGUUGUCAUGUGCCUACAAGAGCCAACGGUCGUCCUGCAAAUACUAUUCCUCGCGCUGUGCGUAUAAAUACAAGCCGCGGCUCACUCUCUCCAUUUGCUCCGGUUGUCCUCUUCGCUCGAGCUCGAGCCGAUAUGUCAAAUAGCCGAUUAAACCCGUACAUCAAAUGAACGAUGAAUCUCCCCUCACUCUGUCAGGCAAUAUCAGUCGAGGAACAUCAAGAACGACGAAGAAUUCAGCUCAGCUCAAUGCCAUUGCCAUUAUUCCCAAUCUUCCUUGAAUCACAGUGAGAGAAGCCGAUCAAUCUCUCUCUCUCUCUCUCUCUCUCUCUCCCCCUCAACCCGCGAAACCUGAGAAGGGAAAUGGACAAAAACCCGGGAUUCAGAACUGGACAAAGACCCAGAAAUGAGAAGGCUUUCAUUCUCAAAUCAAUCCGACAACACAUGCAAUUCUAUGAGAAAAUCCAAUCCAAACAAGAACGCACCAAUCCUCGAGCAAGAACAAUUCCCGGCAUGAUUCAGCUGCUGAUUUUAAUGUUGCAUUUUGUUUGUAAUUAACAUUUUAAAAUCAGAUUUUGAUUUUGAAAAAGAGUUAUAUAAAUGAUUAUGUACGGGAUUUAUCAUUUCACUUUGUAUGAAUUAUUUUGUUUUAUUAUGAAAAAAAGUGGUAUAAAAGAUACCGGCAAGAAAAGAUGCUCCGUGAAGCUAUCUCCUAUCUCCUCUCGCGAGCUGUGACCUGGCAGUUUUGAUCCUCUGCUGCUUCCCGUGCCGCGUGGAUUUGACAUUCCAGUGGGCUUCUAUACGGUUUUCCUGCUGCGAGCGUUGAGGUCUUGCCCUGACAGUGAGGGAAAUAGAGAGGAAGAUAACGAUUGGUGUAUGUGUACUGGAAAAGAAGGCUUUUUCUGCUCCGAUGGGACAGAUACUUGACAGGCUGCAAGCAUUCGGAGAAUUUGAGGUGAAUAUCUUGACUCGUUCGAUCGGUCGGGUUGGGUUGUGUCCCUGUGAUGUGGAUGGCUGAGUUGCUUGAUCAGAUGAUUAGCCUCCGUACUUGAUUCUUCCUGUUUGAUGGGAGCACUUCGUAAAUGCGGCUUAUUCUGUUGCAAAAGCGUAUGAGAAGCUCUAGUGAUAGGCUCACGAACCAGAACUGGGUAAGAAGGAAAGGUGGAGGGUAGAACCAACAUAACUCACUCGAUAAGAUGACUCACCACAAGUAAGAAAAGUCGAAUUGAUUCGCCACGC